rnacentral:rRNA from 1 species
UACGUAGGGUGCAAGCGUUAAUCGGAAUUACUGGGCGUAAAGCGUGCGCAGGCGGUUAUUCAAGCCAGAUGUGAAAUCCCCGGGCUCAACCUGGGAACUGCAUUUGUGACUGCAUGGCUAGAGUACGGUAGAGGGGGAUGGAAUUCCGCGUGUAGCAGUGAAAUGCGUAGAUAUGCGGAGGAACACCGAUGGCGAAGGCAAUCCCCUGGACCUGUACUGACGCUCAUGCACGAAAGCGUGGGGAGCAAACAGG